AGAUGAAAGGUGCCCGUACCGCAAACCGACACAGGUAGGCGAGGAGAGAAUCCUAAGGUGAGCGAGAGAACUCUCGUUAAGGAACUCGGCAAAAUGACCCCGUAACUUCGGGAGAAGGGGUGCUCUUUAGGGUUCAUAGCCCUGAAGAGCCGCAGUGAAUAGGCCCAGGCGACUGUUUAGCAAAAACACAGGUCUCUGCGAAGCCGCAAGGCGAAGUAUAGGGGCUGACGCCUGCCCGGUGCUGGAAGGUUAAGAGGAGGGGUUAGCUCACGCGAAGCUCUGAAUCGAAGCCCCAGUAAACGGCGGCCGUAACUAUAACGGUCCUAAGGUAGCGAAAUUCCUUGUCGGGUAAGUUCCGACCCGCACGAAAGGCGUAACGAUCUGGGCACUGUCUCAACGAGAGACUCGGUGAAAUUAUAGUACCUGUGAAGAUGCAGGUUACCCGCGACAGGACGGAAAGACCCCGUGGAGCUUUACUGCAGCCUGAUAUUGAAUUUUGGUACAGCUUGUACAGGAUAGGUAGGAGCCUGAGAAGCCGGAGCGCCAGCUUCGGUGGAGGCGUCGGUGGGAUACUACCCUGGCUGUAUUGAAAUUCUAACCCGCACCCCUUAUCGGGGUGGGAGACAGUGUCAGGCAGGCAGUUUGACUGGGGCGGUCGCCUCCUAAAAUGUAACGGAGGCGCCCAAAGGUUCCCUCAGAAUGGUUGGAAAUCAUUCGCAGAGUGUAAAGGCACAAGGGAGCUUGACUGCGAGACCUACAAGUCGAGCAGGGACGAAAGUCGGGCUUAGUGAUCCGGUGGUUCCGCAUGGAAGGGCCAUCGCUCAACGGAUAAAAGCUACCCCGGGGAUAACAGGCUUAUCUCCCCCAAGAGUCCACAUCGACGGGGAGGUUUGGCACCUCGAUGUCGGCUCAUCGCAUCCUGGGGCUGUAGUCGGUCCCAAGGGUUGGGCUGUUCGCCCAUUAAAGCGGUACGCGAGCUGGGUUCAGAACGUCGUGAGACAGUUCGGUCCCUAUCCGUCGUGGGCGCAGGAAAUUUGAGAGGAGCUGUCCUUAGUACGAGAGGACCGGGAUGGACGCACCGCUGGUGUACCAGUUGUCUUGCCAAAGGCAUCGCUGGGUAGCUAUGUGCGGACGGGAUAAGUGCUGAAAGCAUCUAAGCAUGAAGCCCCCCUCAAGAUGAGAUUUCCCAUUCGCAAGAAGUAAGAUCCCUGAAAGAUGAUCAGGUUGAUAGGUCAGAGGUGGAAGC
rnacentral:rRNA from 1 species